rnacentral:lncRNA from 1 species
AGGAGUCACAGGACUGUUUGAGUUGAGCACGAUUCGGAUGAUCUGAUCAGGGUUGACAGUUUAACCCUGAGUCAUCCUAAACACAGGGGUCAAAGGGAUGAAUUAUACAGUAACCAUAUUCAUGUAGAUUCUAAGUGUUGCGAUUGUGACUCUUCGACCUAUCCGAACGUCAGGUACCAUUGCUAGAUGGUCACUUCGAUUAGUACAGGAAUUGGUUCCUGUGCUACCGGCUUAGGUUCGAACCUGCGAGGUCACACACAUUAGAGGUUCCUAUCUGAUCUGAUGGCUGAUGUAGAAUCCUACAUGUUUAGGACUCAGUGAUCGAGAAUCAGAAUUCUCUGAUCAUGAGUUCCACACAUUAUGGGUACCGGGGUCAAGAGUC